GGUUGGUCCGAGUGCAGUGGUGUUUACAACUAAUUGAUCACAACCAGUUACAGAUUCCUUUGUUCCUUCUCCACUCCCAAGCUCCACUUGACCAGCCUUUA
rnacentral:Y_RNA from 1 species